rnacentral:rRNA from 1 species
ACUAAAUAGAUACCCGGGUAGUCCACGCCCUAAACGAUGUCUACUAGUUGUUGGUGGAGUAAAAUCCAUGAGUAGCGCAGCUAAACGCGUGAAGUAGACCGCCUGGGGAGUACGGUCGCAAGAUUAAAACUCAAGGAAUUGACGGGGGCCCGCACAAGCGGUGGAUUAUGUGGAUUAAAUUCGAUGCAACGCGAAAAACCUUACCUGGCCUUGACAUGCCACUAACGAAGCAGAGAUGCAUUAGGUGCCCGUAAGGGAAAGUGGACACAGGUGCUGCAUGGCUGUCGUCAGCUCGUGUCGUGAGAUGUUGGGUUAAGUCCCGCAACGAGCGCAACCCUUGCCAUUAAUUGCCAUCAUUUAGUUGGGCACUUUAAUGGGACUGCCGGUGACAAACCGGAGGAAGGUGGGGAUGACGUCAAGUCCUCAUGGCCCUUAUGGCCAGGGCUUCACACGUAAUACAAUGGUCGGUACAGAGAGUUGCCAACCCGCGAGGGGAGCUAAUCUCAGAAAGCCGAUCGUAGUCCGGAUUGUUCUCUGC